GAUGAACGCUGGCGGCGUGCCUAAUACAUGCAAGUCGAGCGAACAGACGAGGAGCUUGCUCCUCUGAUGUUAGCGGCGGACGGGUGAGUAACACGUGGAUAACCUACCUAUAAGACUGGGAUAACUUCGGGAAACCGGAGCUAAUACCGGAUAACAUGUUGAACCGCAUGGUUCAACAGUGAAAGACGGUCUUGCUGUCACUUAUAGAUGGAUCCGCGCCGCAUUAGCUAGUUGGUAAGGUAACGGCUUACCAAGGCAACGAUGCGUAGCCGACCUGAGAGGGUGAUCGGCCACACUGGACCUGAGACACGGUCCAGACUCCUACGGGAGGCAGCAGUAGGGAAUCUUCCGCAAUGGGCGAAAGCCUGACGGAGCAACGCCGCGUGAGUGAAGAAGGUCUUCGGAUCGUAAAACUCUGUUAUUAGGGAAGAACAAAUGUGUAAGUAACUAUGCACGUCUUGACGGUACCUAAUCAGAAAGCCACGGCUAACUACGUG
rnacentral:rRNA from 1 species